ACCCUAAACUCUUGAAUAUCAGUGUCGAUCUGAAUACUAUGUAAUAGUUAAAACUUUCAACAACGGAUCUCUUGGUUCUGGCAUCGAUGAAGAACGCAGCGAAAUGCGAUAAGUAAUGUGAAUUGCAGAAUUCAUUGAAUCAUCGAAUCUUUGAACGCACAUUGCGCCCCUUGUUAUUCCGAGGGGNUUNNCUGUUCGAGCGUCAUUACAACCCUCAAGCACUGCUUGGUGUUGGGCCCCGCUGGGCNGCGGCGGGCCCUAAAAUCAGUGGCGGUGCCGUCGGGCCCUCGAGCGCANUAAACAUCCUCGCUACAGGGACCCGGUGGACGCUGGCCAUCAACCCCCAACUCUCUAAGUUUGACCUCGGAUCAUGUAGGGAUACCCGCUGAACUUAAGCAUAUCAAUAA
rnacentral:rRNA from 1 species